GCCUCUUUAGCUCAGUGGCAGAGCACUGGUCUUGUAAACCAGGGGCCGUGAGUUCAAUUCUCACAAGAGGCA
rfam:Drosophila ananassae strain TSC#14024-0371.13 Ctg01_19544, whole genome shotgun sequence.